rnacentral:rRNA from 1 species
CAGUCGCCACGGUAAUACGUAGGUGGCAAGCGUUGUCCGGAAUUAUUGGGCGUAAAGGGCUCGCAGGCGGUUUCUUAAGUCUGAUGUGAAAGCCCCCGGCUCAACCGGGGAGGGUCAUUGGAAACUGGGAAACUUGAGUGCAGAAGAGGAGAGUGGAAUUCCACGUGUAGCAGUGAAAUGCGUAGAGAUGUGGAGGAACACCAGUGGCGAAGGCGACUCUCUGGUCUGUAACUGACGCUGAGGAGCGAAAGCGUGGGGAGCGAACAGGAUUAGAUACCCCCGUAGUCCCUGUCUCUUAUAC